AAAAAAAAAAAAAAAAAAAAGGCUUGUGAUGAGAAAAGAAAAUAGCUUUUAUAUGAGGAAUGCAAGUCCUUUUAAUUAUCAGGCCCAGAGAGACAUUAAAAUGAGACCGCAAUCAAGUCCUACUUCUCGCUUUAGGCUAUGUUAUUCAUCUCUUGAAACUGCUUGCUAUUGCCACAAGUAGCUAUAGAUUAAUCUAAUAAUGCCACACCAGACACUAUAACCCAUACCCUAUAGCUUAACAAUGUAUAGCCAAUUACUAAUCAAUGUUAUUUCUGUAAACCAAUGAGAAUUCCUGACAAACAACUUGGUAUUAGCCCACUCCCUAUCCCUCUUUUUUGCUUUUAAAAAUCCACUUGUGCCCUUUCCGCCAUCUUUCCGUGCCGCCACAACGGUGCGCAUGAAUGUCCUGACUGAUGCUCUCAAGAGCAUCAACAAUGCCGAAAAGAGAGGCAAACGCCAGGUGCUUAUUAGGCCGUGCUCCAAAGUCAUCGUCCGGUUUCUCACUGAUGAUGAAGCAUGAGCUGGGAAAAUUGUUGUGAACCUCACAGGCAGGCUAAACAAGUGUGGAGUGAUCAGCCCCAGAUUUGAUGUGCAACUCAAAGAUCUAGAAAAAUGGCAGAAUAAUCUGCUUCCAUCCCGCCAGUUUGGUUUCAUUCUACUGACAACCUCAGCUGGCAUCAUGGACCA